AGUUGAUUUGGGAACCAGAGAACAGCAGCCUAAGUGUGACUGUAAUUUUUGGCAGCUACAGAUUCCCAAGACAACUAGGAAGGGAAAAGGAACCCUUCAAGGAAGUUCCAGGAAAAACGUCUCUCCCAAAAAGACCACCGCUUCAGGAAAACCUGAGGAAGGGAGUGGGCCAACAGUAUCCUGCCACUGUGACCAGCUGAACGAGGAACUCCAUCAAAAUGAGCCACAGCUGGACCAAAACAGUGAGGAGACCUCCACCUUCUUCAGUGUCUCCCUGAGCAGUCAGUAAUUUCAGGGCAAGCUGAGAGGUCUCCAGAGGUCUAACCCCAGAUAAAUAGCCAACAGGGUCUAGAGUACAUUUUAUACCCAACAGGGUAUACCCCAUGGUGAUCAAAAUAAAAUAAACCUGUUGUAAAAUGA
rnacentral:lncRNA from 1 species